rnacentral:antisense_RNA from 1 species
UGUAGGAGUGAGCCUGCUCGCGAUAGCGGUGUGUCAGACCCAAUUCCUCGACUGAUACACCGCUAUCGCGAGCAGGCUCACUCCUACA